rnacentral:lncRNA from 1 species
CCUGGUUUCACUAACGCUGUAUUUUGUGUCUACUGGGACGGGGCCUGAGGAGGACCUGGGUGUUCUGGUGUUAAAUCUGGCUUCACCAAUAAAUCCUCCUAGCUGUUCUUGCGGGUGAUUUUGAGCCCUCUGUGAUGUUGGCAAUGCCCAGAGCCACUUUGAUUGUCACAGUGGUUGUGGGGGGGUACCGGUGACACCUGGUUGGCAGCGUCUGGGGAUGCUGGUCAUCGCCCAGGUGCAGGUGUAGGCCAGUCCCCCUGACAAACCCCUGUAUGGCUGAGGACGUCUGUGAUGGCGAGGUUGAGAAACCCCGACAUUGACGCUGGGGUCACUUACUUAGCCUCUGCAAGCUUGUGUUUCCCUGCCCGAGAGAGCACAUCCCUCGGGCCAGUGCCUGGAAGUGGUCUUUAGUUCUACCUCUGGCAGUUCUGUUCUUUUGUCCUGUCAUGAAGCUCUAACGGUGAGGAAUUCAAGCCCUUGUCACUGGAGGAGAGACCAGGGUGGGAGCACUCCUGAUGCCAGGGGAGACACGCUCAGAGACGCUGAUCAGCUCGUGGGACCAGGAUGGCUCCCUGCCAGGGAGUUCUGGGAGAUUCAUUUAAGGUGUGUUUCAGCAGGCUAAUUAAUUUACAAGCACCUGUGUCAUCGCUGGGAGCUGUUAGCAC